UGCGCGGUAGUGGAGUUGGUUCCACGUGGGGCUCAUAACCCUAAGACACCGGUUCGAAUCCGGUCUGCGCCACCA
rnacentral:tRNA from 1 species